GACGAACGCUGGCGGCGUGCCUAAUACAUGCAAGUCGAGCGGAGCAACGGUUUCCUUCGGGAAACCAUUAGCUUAGCGGCGGACGGGUGAGUAAUACGUAGGUAACCUGCCCUUAAGACCGGGAUAACUCACGGAAACGUGGGCUAAUACCGGAUAGUCGAUUUCCUCGCAUGAGGGAAUCGGGAAAGGCGGAGCAAUCUGCCACUUAUGGAUGGACCUACGGCGCAUUAGCUAGUUGGUGGGGUAACGGCUCACCAAGGCGACGAUGCGUAGCCGACCUGAGAGGGUGAUCGGCCACACUGGGACUGAGACACGGCCCAGACUCCUACGGGAGGCAGCAGUAGGGAAUCUUCCGCAAUGGACGCAAGUCUGACGGAGCAACGCCGCGUGAGUGAUGAAGGUUUUCGGAUCGUAAAGCUCUGUUGCCAGGGAAGAACGCUAUGGAGAGUAACUGUUCCAUAGGUGACGGUACCUGAGAAGAAAGCCCCGGCUAACUACGUGCCAGCAGCCGCGGUAAUA
rnacentral:rRNA from 1 species